ensembl:lncRNA
GGUAUCUUAGAAUCAGCUAACACUUUUUUGAUAAAAACUGGUGCUUCGAUUAUCGUUUUUCUUCCUCUAUCCUUUUAAAAUAAGUAAUAACUUAUUUUCAAGAUAUGCAAUUUAUUUCAUGAGGAUGCUUCUACUAAUCAAAAGAAAACAAACAAAAACGAAUCUUAUGAGAUAUUAUACAUAUAGUUUAAGUGAAUUAUUAUUCAGACAUAUUUGUGCUCACCUUUUGUUAUAAAGAAUUAAUGAUGUAAUAAAUAGAAGUAUUAGUAUGUUGCAGUUUUGUGUGACAACCUUGAUGGCAAAACUAAUUGCAGGGGGGGUUCAUCAAGCUAUUAGAUAGUACGAUAGGGUGUUUUUUAUUUUUUUGUGUAUAAUAUAAAACAAAUAGACAGAAGCACUAGGACAAUGAGAGAAAUUGCAGUUAUCCCAUAUGGAUACAUCCAGGGCUGCACUGACUUGAGGCAGAACUGAGCUUGCUAAUUCCAGUAUGUCUAAAAAGGUCGAUCAUUCUGUCAUACCUAAUCAUAUCAGCAAUGAUGUGACCCCAAAUGAACCAUACUCCCCUGAUUUAUUGUAGUCUCAUGCAGUGGCAUCAUGACAUAAUGCAAUCUGUAAUGCAAUGAAAAAGGAAACAAUGACAGCAGAGCAACUAGAUCCCAGGCUGCAGCAAGUGAGGAUUUGUCACUGCUACCUGGUGGUGUGUUUGCUAGAUGAUACCACGGAAGUCACGAGCAGCCACAAGAGGCUUCCCAAACCUGCAACAGCUCUGGUUCUUUUAAGUGCUGUAGUGCAAAUGCUAAGUCAUGGCUUGAAACAGUGAUUGAGCUCCUGGUAGGAAGGCAGGGCCCGCCUAGGGGAGCUCAGGUGCAUACAGUGAACCUGAGUGACUGCAAGGAAUGGAGUCAGGGUCCAUCCCUCCCCAGACUUCAUUUAAAGGUCAUCACUGGCAGAAUCAGAAUAUCCUGAGUUGGAAGUCAGUCACAAGACUCAUCAACUCCUGGCUCCAUGUAGGACCACCCAAAUUUCCAAUCCUGUGCCAUGACCACUGUCCUGGGAACUUCAGGGUGCAUAUUAAUUGUUUAUGGAGUCCUAACUACUGAUUAAAUAUUUUAAGAGGGAAAAUAAUGUAUUUUAAUGUAGAAUGUUCAGUGGAAUUAUCAGUUAUGCAUUAGAUAAACUGUAAGAUAGGAAGAGAUAGUUUCUUGUAUUGGCUUAAAAUAUUGGUUUUGGAAGUAAUAUACAUUUUAGGUAAAAGAACAUAGCUUCUUGGUUCAGAAUUUUAGAAAAAAAAUAAAAGGAUAGGACAAUUCAUUUCACUUUCAAGAGUGAAAGACAUGCAGUAUCUUCUUUUUAGGUGUCUGAAGAUACAUGCACUAUGGCAGUUUGAACCUUUGGCUUUUCAUCAUAAAUGAUCUUACAUCUGUGGCCAGGUGGUCUGCUUUUAUGAGACUAUCAUUCCUAUUCUGUGGAGGUUCCGAAUGAAAUCUAAUGCCGUUUCCAGCCUCCGUUUUGAGGUUCCUAUCCAUUUGUCAGUCUAAGUAAUGAAGAUGCAACACAUAGGAUGUACUGUCUGAGACUGACGUCUUUAUGUCACAGAUCACUGGAGCAGCUUCAAAGAAAGUGAGUAACUUACCUAAAUAUUUCAUGAAAAAUCAUUCUGAAUUCUUCAUUUUUGCCUUCAUAUGGUCCAUCAGAUAUUUCUCAG